rnacentral:rRNA from 1 species
GACGAACGCUGGCGGCGCGCUUAACACAUGCAAGUCGAGCGAGAACCAGUCCUUCGGGGCUGGGACAGCGGCGAACGGGUGAGUAACUCGUGGGUAAUCUGCCCUCGGCACCGGAAUAGCCCGGGGAAACCCGGAUUAAUGCCGGAUGGCCUCUCUGCCCCUCGGGGCGGUGAGAAAAGGUAGCUUCGGCCUCCGGCCGAGGAUGAGCCCGCGGCCGAUUAGCUUGUUGGUGAGGUAACGGCUCACCAAGGCGACGAUCGGUAGCUGGUCUGAGAGGACGAUCAGCCACACUGGGACUGAGACGCGGCCCAGACUCCUACGGGAGGCAGCAGUGGGGAAUCUCGCGCAAUGGGCGAAAGCCUGACGCAGCGACGCCGCGUGCGGGAAGAAGGCCUUCGGGUUGUAAACCGCUUUCAGGAGGGACGAAGCCACUCGGGUGAAUAGCCCAGAGGGUGACGGUACCUCCAGAAGAAGCCCCGGCUAACUACGUGCCAGCCGCCGCAGUAAAAC